AUUGAACGCUGGCGGCAUGCCUUACACAUGCAAGUCGAACGGCAGCGCGGGCUUCGGCCUGGCGGCGAGUGGCGAACGGGUGAGUAAUACAUCGGAACGUGCCCUAGAGUGGGGGAUAACUAGUCGAAAGAUUAGCUAAUACCGCAUACGAUCUACGGAUGAAAGUGGGGGACCGCAAGGCCUCAUGCUCCUGGAGCGGCCGAUGUCUGAUUAGCUAGUUGGUGGGGUAAGAGCCUACCAAGCCGACGAUCUGUAGCUGGUCUGAGAGGACGACCAGCCACACUGGGACUGAGACACGGCCCAGACUCCUACGGGAGGCAGCAGUGGGGAAUUUUGGACAAUGGGCGCAAGCCUGAUCCAGCAAUGCCGCGUGCAGGAAGAAGGGCCUUCGGGUUGGUAAACUGCUUUGUACGGUAAGAACACUCUCGUGAAGGAGCUUGACGGUACCGUAAGAAUAAGGAUCGGCUAACUACCGUGCCAGCAGCCG
rnacentral:rRNA from 1 species